AUGUGAGGGAAAUCUGGCUGUGACAUCUGUCACCCCAUUGAUCACUAGGGUUGAUUCAGCUGAUCUGGAUGGCUAGGUGUGUCUCCCAUUCCUACCUCACUACUGAAUAGGAGUCCCUGCCAGAACUGAGCACUGGGUUGAAGAAAACAACCUUCCCCAGUAGAGGUAUACUGCUCAUUGGUCAAGGGUAUAUGGUAGCUGUGCUCCCCUGGUAUAACUUCUAAACAAGCUCAAGGUCCAUUUGUAGGAGAACACAGGAUAGUUAAGAUUCCAAGACUCCUGACACAUCCUAUUGAAGCACUGUGUGGGGCAGUCUGAUAUUGCA
rnacentral:snRNA from 1 species